UGCUAAGGUAAUUAAAUUACCUUCGCACUGUUCAAAUGUUAUUUGAACACAGAAGAGCAAAAAAAUGGCAAUGGAAGCACCUGUUUCUGGAGAUUGCGAAGAAGGCUGCAACGCUGGUGUGAAUGCUUUGGUUCGGCUGCUUUCCGCUCUUUCUCCCGGGACGAAGAAGAUAAUUUCAAAGAUAAUGCUCCUCCUUGAGUACUGCACUCUUGUUCUCUCCUUCUUUCUAUGACUGUUAUCUUCCACGAACGAGAUUACAGGCGAGAGACGUGGUCCACGAUUGGAUCGAACCCGUUGCAGAUUUUCAGCCUAUUGAAUCGGGAUGGAGAAGACGAACACGGCUGUUCCACCAGCAACGGCGGCGUUUCGGCAGCAAGGGAUUCCACCAGCAACGGCAACGUUUCAGCAGCAAUGGACAUUUUCUUUUUGACCCCUGAACUUUGGAAAUUCGGCAAUUGGACCCCUAAUCAAUUAAAAAUUUCUUUUAAUUUUGCCCCUUUUGGAUUAAUUUCAAUUAAAUCCCUAAAUUGGUACACUGUUUACAAAACAGUCCUUAAUUCCUGGAUUGUUCAAUUUGGUUCUUAAUUAAUUCUUUUAAUUUUGCCCUUUUGGAUUAAUUUCAAUUAAAUCCCUGAAUUAUAACACUGUUUACAAAACAGUCCUUAAUUUCUGGAUUGUUCA